GAACCGACAGUUAAACACUAAUGAUACAGUUUAGACAAAGCACUUGUACUUCUGACAGAUGAUCCAAAGUUCUAACUUAUAUCAGACUAUAUCAAUGGAAUGGAUAAGAUUGGAAUGGAUAAGAUUGCGCGAAAAGUAAGGUACAUUCGGCAAGUAGUUGUUAGUGUGUCAUCAUAUAUAAACGACUUUAUUGAGUGAGGUUUCAGCAACAAGUUGGUAAAUAAAGUAGCAAAAGAUAUGUAAAAUUCAGUAAAUGGUACAAAUAAGAACUAGUAGGAAAAUACAACAAAAGUUGAAAUUUCAGAUAAACAUAAAAGAAACUAAAACAGCCACAGGACUAGUGCAAAGACAGAAAGGAUAAAUUCAACUACACAAGUCAUCUGACUUCUAAAUUAACUUCAAGAAAAAUAUUGCACAAACACAUUAAUCUUCAUAGAACUCAAAUAUAUAAGUAACGCAGUAGCUUAAAUUCUUUACCGGAAAAUGAGCAGCAAGGAACAAACUUCUGUAUUCUAUUCUACUUGCUUUCAAAAAUCAGGAAUAUUAAUUGACAAACAUUGUAACAAAAACUAGUAAAAGUGUUGCAAAAUCAAAAUCAAAAGUAGUCUAUCAUUCUUGAGUAGUUGACCGAUGAGUAAAAAGAACCAAACUUCAGUAUUCUCUUAUAUUUCUUUUAGAAUUCCUGAAUACCUUGAAAUUCCAUCUGCAAAUUAACAAAUUCAUGUAUCAAAAAUGAGUACAAAUGCCACCAAAUGCAUAUUAGUACAAAAAUUGUAGAAGUGUUAUUGCGAAAAAAUUCAGUCGAAGUAUAGGCUUCCGUAAAGAGGCAGAUAAAAAAAAACGGCAGGAGAAAUAAUAUGAUCAAACAUUCACGACCAGUGUUACCAAUUUUGUAUGUUCUUGUCAUUGAUGGACUUCGGCUACGCCAUUUACUUUGCUCGCUUUGAAACCUUAUCACCAACCUCCUCUGCCGCACGUUUAUUUUCAUGUUUAACCUAUUACCAAUAAAUGUACUUGACCAAAUAAAAAAAUUAUAGAACAAUAUUAAAAAUUAAAAUGGCAAUGCAGUAAAAUGGCAAUGCAGUAAUAGGUACAAAAUCGACCAAGUAAAAAGUGUUUAGGACUCGGCCUCAAAGACCAUCAAGUUUAUUCUUCAAACUAUCUUUCUCCUUUCAAAGACACCAAAUUUCAAUCUAAAUAAACAAAAACAAAGAGGAAAAACAGAGAGAGGGUCUUCCAGUACCAAAAUAGAUGAAGCAGGAACGAUACGAUUAUCAGGAUCAGAGUCCAAGUUGGGCCUUUCCUCUAUGGGUUCAGUACGAGUAUGGUCCUCUUGAGGGGCAGCAUUGAGAGGGAAUUCAAGUUUUUUUCCUCAUCUUUAGAGGAAUUCUCCUUGCUGAUUUUGGAUUCUUCUUCUGCAAUGGUUUCAUCAGAGUCGGAGUCGGACAAGUAAGACGAGUCAGUGGAGGAGGAGUCAUCGGAGAAAUGCCUCUUAGUGUAAUACAAUCUGACUGGGAAUGGUUCUAGUGCAUUGCUGUCAUCAAAGGCCUCGUCCGCAGUUUCAGGAAGUUUUUUCUCGGUUUGAAUUUCUGAUUCUUCUCCCACAAUAACUUCAGAAUCGGAGUCAGAGUCAGAGUCUAAAACGCUAAAGGAGCCAGUGGAGGAGUCACUCGAAAAUUAUCUCUUAGUGGGAUACAGUUUCACCGGAAAGGUUUUCACCUUACUAUAGUCAAAGGGGGGUUCAUCGCCAUCAGUGACAAUAGUUUCAGGUUUUUCUACAUUAGUUCCUACACAUAAUUCAAUUAUCCAUCAAAGUCCACAAAUUUAAUUCAUAAUUGUACCCGUAAAUUCACCUUUGCAAAUUUAUUACUAGCCUGUGGCAAAAAUUCAGCCUUUUCCGAUGGAUGUUUAUUGUUGUGUUCUGACAUAAACAAGUAACGAAUUCAUGUAAAACUACAUAAUGGGCUUGGAUUCAAACAAAGCAUAAAUUGCAUAAUAUAUAUAACUGCGGGACCUUUUUUUUCAAAAACUACACUGGCCUAGCCCUUGAGUAGUUCCGCCUGCAACUCAUACAACAUAAUAAUAAUAAUAACAAUACUAUUCAUUGUCUUACAAAUAUAUGUAAUUCUCACUCCACAAAUCUUGGAUUAUGCUCCAACUCAUAAUAACUCAAUUUGAUAUAAUUAUUACUCUUGAGAGUCAAUACAACAUAGUUUCUGAGGAAAUGCAAAAGAAAAGGAAAAUCUCCUCUUAUUCUUAUUCUUAAUCCACUAGCUCUGAUUUUCUGCUUUCCUUUUCCCUUCUACCUUUAUGCAAGAGAGGGUUCUCCUUUAAUAGCAAAAGGUGUAAAAAAUAUAGCAAGGGUGAGCAUCGACGACACUCAGCAAGUCCAACUCUUUACCAUCAAAGAAAAAUAAAAACAAAAGUUUUGUUCUAAAUUUCACUGCACUCUAUGAAGGCUCGACUUCCACUAAUCAGAAUAUUAUUUAACAAAAUAUUGUUGGAUUUUUGUUUUAUAGAACCAAUAACAUAAGAAUAUAUUUGUGAAAUCUUUUUAUAUCUUUAAAUAUUUAAUAUUUAAAGCAGAUGAGAAAAAAAAAAAGCUGCAGAUAAUGUGUUGGUUUUAUUGAUGUGAAACUCCUAGAUUGAAUGACUAUAUUUAUUGAGAUAGUCAUAAAUAAAAUUAAAGCUGAGGGAGUUAUAUUUAUUGAGAACACAUUAUAUAUAGAGAGGCAUAUUAAUUUGUAUGUGAUGUACAAGAAAAGCUUCUAAGUUUUCUCACGACACAAAUGCUAUACACAAUUAUGAAAUCUUGUUCCUAAGUAAUUAGGAAGGAUACCAAUAUUGCUAGUUGCCAUCUUCAUACUUUGUUGUAUCCUGUAGGAAUAAUUUCGCUAGUAACCUCUUAGCAAAUUGUUAAACAAUUGGGGCGAAAUAAAUCCUUAAAGAAAGUGAUAGUAUCACGCCUCAAAGCAAUUUGUUCUAAUUAUUUUUGCAGGAAGUUGGUGUUCUAAAAGUUCCAUCUACCAAUUGUUCGGUCAACAAAUAUGUCAUCUCUUACUCUAAAGAAAGUCUAGUACAACGACAACCUGUCAGACUGUUUAAGAUAUGACACUUUAGAAUGCUUGUCUCCGCUUGUACUAUAAGCCUAGGCAUGUUCAACUCAGGCUUCUAAAGCAAAAUGAUAACACACUGACUAAUUAACACUUACAACUCUGUCUCUCUCAACCAUGGUCUGAGUUCACAGAAUUCCAUGUUGAAUUGUAAGAAUCAAAACUUCCUGGAGGAUUCAGAAAGAAAUAAUUUUAAUAAAAUUCUCAAACUACUCAUCAAGACAUAUCACCAAUCUUCUUGAUAAUUACACUAUAGACCAGUACAAUGGAUUAAGUAAGAAAUUUAAGUAAUGGUUGCUGGACUUGAACAAAAUUUUAAUAAAAUUCUCAAACUACUCAUCAAGACACCAAUCUUCUUGAUAAUUACACUAUAGACCAGUACAAUGGAUUAAGUAAGAAAUUUAAGUAAUGGUUGCUGGACUUGAACAAAAUUUUAAUAAAAUUCUCAAACUACUCAUCAAGACAUAUCACCAAUCUUCUCGAUAAUUACACUAUAGAGCAGCACAAUGGAUUGAGUAAGAAAUUUAAAUAAUGGUUGCUGGACUUGAACAAUAAAUCUAACAAAUAAAUAAAAUUCUUAGUAUCUCAAAUGAUGAGACUAUUAGACAUUUUAUUAUUGAUGAGUCAUGUCAACCACGUUUAAAGAAAAUAGAACUGGUUAACUAUUUACUUCAUUAAAAGGAGGUGUUUUGAAUAAGUGGGAGCAUUUGAGUAUCUACUACUACAAUUUGCCCUAGGCACCGGUUAAAAUCCGACGUGUCUGUAAAUUUUGAUUGAUGUCUUCGUGCCUGAUCUUAAAUGUAUGGCCUUUAGACACCGGCUUAUAACUGAUGUCAAUGGUACAAUUAGACAUUUUUUUCCAAUAAAUUUGACGUCUUAAGCUCAAACAUGAAAAUAUAUUGCAAGAUUUCAACUUGAAUAAUGCAUUAUAACAAGUUAUAGAAUCCCUUCAACACAUACAUCAUAAUGUAUAUUAAGCCAUUCUGGAACUCUCCGCUCAAACCCGAGAAGAAACAUAUAUUAAAUAAAUUGCUCAAGUAUUAUAAUUUGGUUGCAAACUAGUUAUAGUAUGUUAUGUAAUGCUAUAUCCAUGUAUUACAAGACAUAUCUCAAUUCACAGGAAUAUAUUAUUUAGGCAUGUACAUCUACACAUAAUAAUUUAUUUACAUGGAGCAAACAUUUUUUUUCCUUUGCAACUAACUGCUUCUGAAUCACGCAGUGCACAUACAAGUAGAACUCUAUAUAUUGUGCAGCAGGCAUGGCAUCACAUGUCAAAUUCUACAUUCCAACAGCUACGAUGUUACAGUCUCGAGGAUAAAAUGCUACGAAGGUCGGUAUUGGUGGAGUUGACAUGAAUGUAGCCAUAACCUACAUAUCAAGACACAUGAUAAGUUAAAUAAGGGUAUGAUACUCAAGGGAUUAGUUGCAGAGUAUAUAAGCAUAUACACCUUGUAGGUGAGUAUAUUGAACAAUGAAACUUUUCCGCCACAAGCAGACAUGAUAUAAUUAGAGUCAUUCUUUAUUAGGGUAAUGCAGGGACAAGAUUUCUGGAGGUACCUGCAACAUCAUUGGCCAUAAGUAAACCACUACUUGGCUUCCAUAAAUGUGGAAGUUCUUUAGCGGUGGCCUGUAAAUCCCCAAAAAGAUCAUGUCAGGUCCUCCAGAUAUGUCAAGUUAAUAUAUAUUUUAAUAAAAGAAAUGAAACAAGAGUAAACUGUAUAUUUUUCAACACCUGCAACAUCAUUGGCCAUAUAUAAGAAAUGAACAUAUUCUGAUAUCACUUGUAGGGUAACUAGUCAUAAUCCCAGAACAUGAUAUUGUUCAUUUUUGGGAGAAUUACAUAGAUUUGUCUUUGGACACAUUUCAAAACUAACAUUAGAUUUAUUUAUUGUUUAUUAAUUUUUAACCACAUUUCUCACAACAAAGGUUAGAUAAAUGUUUUUAUUUAAACUAUUGGUUCUCAUAAAAUCUCAUGGUAUUCGAGAAAGGGAUUAAGAAAAAUUAGGGGUGAAAUCCAAUAUUGAUAUAUCCAAUAUACAACGAAUGCUUAGUGAUGAAAUAAGAUGGUGGAAAUGUUAGGGGUUGCUUAUUUCAAGGGAUGCAAAAUAUCUAUGAUAUAUACCUAUGACACACACAUAUAUAAAUGUAAACUAAAUAGGAAAUAGAAGAAUGAGAGGUUUGUGGGGCCGGUUAUGGAUCCCCCAGUGGGCUUGGAUGGGGUCAAGGGGAGAUGAGGUGGUGCCUUGUGUGAGAAGGUUGAGCCUAUUGGUACUCUUUGGCAUGUAUUAGACGUGCUGAGAGCCUGAGACCCAUUUGAAACGGGUUUUAUUGGGACCGAGUUGGAUUUGGUGGGCCAAAAUGGGUCUAGUGGGGACUCAUGUCAUAAACAACAGUUUUUCCUUUUUUUUUUGUUUGGUUUCUAUUUAAUUAGUUUUUCUUUGACUAUUUGGGUAUGUAAGUAAAUCUUGCCUCACACACAAAAUAAAGAGACCCUCGUCACCGACAUCAAUUCUAAAUAUUCAAUUCCUAUGUAUUAACUAUAUUCUUGUCGAAUCAAAUGCAUAAUAAGAUUAAGAAGUCGUAUUAAAGGAAAAUUGUGUAACACGUAUAUGGUAAUUGUUAUCUACUCUAACACUAAUUAUUAUAUACUCUAAAACUACGAACCUUGAAGCUAAGAAAUAAAAAAAAAAAUAUUACUCAGUAUGUAGAAAAUAUUUGUCAUCAUGUCAAUAAUCCAUCUUUUUAAACUCACCGACCUUCAUUUGUAAUUUUGAUUUAUAUAUAAAUCAAAAUCAAAUUCAAUGUUUUGUAAUUUAGCAAAAGCUGGAAACUCGAAAGUUUCAAUUAAUCAAAACCAAACAAUAAAUGUUUAAACAAUAAUAAGAGACGAAAGUAUGAUACUAUUGUGUGAUAAUAAAAAUCUAAUAUCAUAACAAGUAUGAUGAACAAUAACAAGUUAACUAAUCUGGCAAUGGAGAUUUAAUUACUAGUUACCUCAAGAUGGAGUUCCCAUGUUGGAGGCCCAUCUUAUUAAGCCCUUUAUGAUGAGAUUGAUUGAACCGAGGCCCGUUAGGGAUAGACCGUAUAGCCCAAUUUAAAAUUGCCCGUGAACGCUUUGUUUUUUUAAGUAUGGGGACCUGAAGACGGAGCCAAAAUGGAUAUGAAAAGGACAUGCGUGUUUCUCCCUGGUUUUGCCCUACUUCGGCCGAAUUCCCCAAUUAUCAGGCACACACCGAAUGAAGUGGGGAAACACCGAUUUAAAUUAGUUCACGUUGGAGUAUACGAUAUAUUCGAUUUGAUACUCACAAGCCCUUAUACAAUUUUAAUUAGUGAACCUAAGUUAAGAUUUACUUAUUCUCAGAUCCGUGGAUAAAUAGCAAGUGAUUAAAUCACCAUGAAAGCACUCAUGCCCUCAUCACAUAUCACCAUUAAAGCAAUUAUGUCGAGUCAAUAAAACUCAUUAUGCUAUUUCUAAUUGAAUAAAUAUAAACAAAAUUCUACUAUUUCGCAAUGUGUAUAUUGUUGGAAGAAAUAAUCUCACUCAAACUCAUACAACUCAAAUAUCGAGGAAAGGAGGAUUUUAUAUAAAAAGCAUUGCUUGAAAUGACAUGACCACAAAUGAUAUGGUACAAGGCUUUAUAUAGGACUCUAUAGAAAGAUCUAGAUACUCGGUUAAAUGCUAAAAUCCAAAUUAAAGGACUCACCAGAACUUUCUAAUGAAAUAUAUUUUUAAAUAUAUCUUAUGUAAUUUUAUCCCCAUGCACUGAUUUGGAUUUUUAAAAAAAAUAUUUUCACGUUUUAUUGUAGUAAAUAAAGAAUUAUAAUUUUAGAAGGAUUUGUGAAAAAAAUAGCUAUUUUGUAGCUAAAUUCCAUGAAAAUUUAGAUUUUUUGGGCUAUACCCGAUUUUGAUAGAAUAUAUUUUUAUAUAUAUUGAAUAUGAUUUUAUUCUAAUAUUUAAUUGUAUUUUGCACUGAUUUUUAUUUAUAGAUUUUAAUUUUUUAUAGUAGAAAAUAAAGAAUUUCUAAGUUGAGAAGGAUUUGAGCAAAAAAGAGCUAUUUUUGGGUUAAAGGUUUUGGUAUGUGUCAUAAAAAGCUAAUCAAACAGCUAUUUACCAAAUAGUUUUACAAGAAACCGCUAAUUCAAUCCGCUAGUCAAAACAUCUAUUUCAAUCAUUUAGUCAAAACAUCUAAUUGAAUACGGUAACAGUUAAACGCUAAUUCUCAAACAGGACCCAUAAUUGCUUAGAUCUGUAGGGUCUUAAGUCUUAGUUUUAUAUGUGCCCACCAAUUCACACUUAGGGAAAUGGUUUGGUUCUCAACUUCAAAGGCAAGAAGAUCUAUAUAAAAAAUGCCAUAUACCAAUAAAAACAAGGAAAUAAGGUGUAUCUCAAAUUUAAUAUUAAUAGGAAAAACAACAUCCAAACUUCACAAAAUAUAAGUUGUGGAAGGCAGGAAGUAAAAAAAAACUAUCAAAACCUAGCUAGAGGGUAUGUUUCUAUCUUUCCAAACUAAUAAUAAAACUAAUUAUCUUCUUUGUUCCUAUCUCAAAUAAUAAUUAUAAUUUUAUUUUAAUUAAAAUAUAAAUAGAACUCAAAAAUCAAAUAGCAUUCUAGUUAAUAUUCGUAGUUUUCUUUUUCCUUCAAUUUACUCGCUUUUUGAGAUGGUUUUAUUAUUGGACCCUUUCUGAAUUAAAGAUGAUUUAAAAGGCUUCGUGUGGGCUAUAAAAUAGUCCAAAUCUGACUCUCCAAACCCAAAAUAUACCCACAACAGUUUAGAAAUCAAGUAUAGCCAGUGUUGUAAAAAGCGCAUUAAGCGGCCGAUUAAGCGGCCGCCUAAGCGGAAUCGGCCCUAAAACGCUUCGAUUUUGUACUAAGCGGGAUAUUAAGCAUUUUUGAAAAUUAAGCGGACAAUUAAGCGAUCGUUAAGCGGAUUAAACGGUAAUUAAGCGGUCAAAAUGAUGUUGACUUGCUAAUUUUUAAAAAAAAAUAAUUUUGAAAUAUUAAUUUUUUAAUAAUAUAACUAUAAUUAUAUUAUAAAAUUAAAAAAAAAUAUAUUUUAUCAAGAAUAUUAAAAAUGCAUAUUCUUAACACAACAUAAUAUUAUUUUUAAAUAUAUUAAUAUUAUAACUAAAUAUUUAAUUAUAUUUAAUUAAUCCGCUUAUUGACCCGCUUCAAAUCUCGCUUAUGCGUCCGCUUUACCGCUUAAGCGCUAGAAGGUCCUCCUGCCGCUUAGAACCGAUUUGCUCUUUUCACAACACUAAGUAUAGCACAAUAAAUUUGAAUUUCCAUAGAAUUUAACUCCAAAAUAUCUAUUUUUCCCCUAAUCCAUCUCAAAUUAUUAUUCCUUGUUUUCUAUAAUAAAACGUGAAAAUAUAUUAAAUAAAAAUCUAAAUUAGUGCAAAAUGCAAAUAAUUAUGGGAAUUAAAUUACAUAAAAUAUAUAUAAAACUAUAUUUUAUUAGAAAGUUCUAGUGAGUCAUUUGGAUUCUAGCAUUUAACUAAGUGUCUAGAUCUUUCUACCGACUCCUAUAUAAAGCCUUGUACCCCAAAUCAUUUGUGAUCAAGUGAUUUCAAGCAAUACUUUUUAUAUGAAAUCCUCCUUUUCUAAAUAUUUCAGUUUUGUGAGUUCGAGUGAGUUUCUGUCUUCCAACAAUAUAUAGGGUGCAAAACUGUGGAAUUUUGUUUAUAUUUUUUCAAUUAGAUACAUCAAAAUAGGAUUUUUAUUGACUCAACAUAAAUGCUUUAAUGGUGAUAUGCGAUGAAGGCAUGAUUGCUUUCACGGUGAUUAUUCACUUGCUAUUUAUCGUCCGAUCUGAGAAUAAGUAAAUUUAAUUUUCGGUACACUAAUUAAAACAGUAUAAGAGCUUGUGAGUAUCAAAUCGAAUAAAUCAUAUACUCCAACCUGAAUUAAUUUAGAUCGACAUUUCCCCACUUCAUUCGGUGUGCCUAAUAAUCUGGGAAUUCGCCGUAGUGGGGGGAAAACAAGGAGAAACAGUCAUGUCCUCCUGACAUCUAUUUUGACUCCGUCUUAAGGUUCUUCUCAAAUAACAAAGCAUUCACCGACAAUUUCGAAUUCAGCAACACGAUGUAUCCCUAAUGGGCCUCUAUUCAGUCAAUCUCAUCAUAAUGGGCUUAGUAAUAUGGGCCUCCAACAUGGUAACUUCUUCAUGAGGUAACUAGUAAUUAAAUCUCCAUGGUCAGAUUAGUUAAGUUAUUAUUGUUCAUCAUACUUGUUAUAAUAUUAGAUAUAUAUUAUAAUUCAACAUUAUCUUACAUUCAUCUCAGAUUCUCAAUCGUCUCCAUCUCAAUCAAUUAGUACUACAAAUUAAAUGCUUUAAUUAUUUAGAUUUAUGACUUAUUUCUUUGUUUUGUAAAAUUCUCCUCUAAUACACUUACAAAGUUCUUGACAUUCGGAAAUAAGUAAGUGGCAUGAACUCUAUUUUAAAAUACUUCAAACAUGAACACAUUUAUAUGAUUUAUAUGAGAUGUAUUACUUAUUCUGACAAAUGUAUAGCUUGUUCAUCGUAUUUGAUGGAAUUUAGCCAAAAGAAUUAUUGUUUGAUUUUGAUUAAUUAGAAUUUUUGAGUUUACAUUUUUUUCUAAAUUACAAAACAUUGAAUUUGAUUUCGAAUUUUAUAUAAAUCAUAAUGAAAAAUGAAUGUCAAUGAGUGUAUAAUGAUUGUACAAAGUACGUGGCUUUUUGUUUUAUUUAAAUUUUGAGUUGUUUUGGAUAUUAAAAAUUUUGAAUAAUAAAAAGUCAAAAGACAGAUUAGAUACUUUGUUUAAGAAUGUUAAGUAUUUGUAUUUUUUUUUAAUAUUCUUACUUUACUUUUGCAGCAAACAAUUAAGAAAAUGCUCCAAGACUGAUUCAUAUACCUCUUUAAGGGUAAUAUAAACUACAUCUUAUUAAGUUUAUGCAAUAUUUGUAUUAUGUAUUAUAAAUAUACAAAUAAAAUUCAUUUAAUCAUUUGAAUUAUUGCAUGCAUAGUAACAUUUAUCGGAUAUAGAUAAUUUCCACAAGAACCUUUUUAAAAAACUUGAAUUUAAAAAAUUUCUUCCAUUUGAAGGUGUUGCACAUAUUUGAAUAUGAAAAGAUAUAGUAUAGGAAUCACUAUAUCACUAUACAUAAGAUAUAAUACACCAAUACACACUAGAAUAUGGAAUAUAUUGAUGCACUUGGACACAUUAAAUUAAGACUUUCAAUUACUAAGCAUAAUUGCUUUGAUGGUGAUCGAUAUGCAGGGAAUAAUAUCUGAGAAUGCAGCGCAGGUUCUUCACAUUUACUAAUUACUACUACUUCAACAAACUUUUGGAGUUGUAGUUUCCUCUUACCAAUACUACCUUAUGAGCGGAAAAUUAUUUAAAUUUUUCAUUAGUGAUUUCUUCUUUGAAAUUCCCUAUGCAAGUUAUCGUGUUCCUUUUAAGACCAGCCUUGUAUUCACUGUAACAAAAAGCCCUAAAGAUGUAAAUAAAGCCCUUUCGUUUGCAACUAGUGAUAUAAAGCUUACUUCUUGCACAUGUAGCAUUGUUGCGCUGCUUAGCCAGCCUCCACUGCCUCAGAACAGCCUCCACAAAGAACAAUACUCGGUCUACCUCUUUUGUUUAGAGGUUGUUUCAUUUUCCUGCCAAGAGAGAGUUGAAAUAGGAUAUAAGCAGAAUUUGGUAACCUUCCCAAUUAAUUUAACCAUAAAUGAACUUUUACUAAGCCAAAAAAGAAUAAAAAUUCAUUCGGAAGAGCUCAAUUAGACAAAGCAAAUACACAAUAAAUUUAUAAUGACAUGCAAUUGAAACUUUUACAUGUGCAGACUAAUUUGAAUUAUAUUAACCCAUUUCUCUUUACUUGUUUUAGUUCAUGACAUCCAAUUUAAAUGCCAGAAACCAUAUGACCAGCUGCUUAUUCAUUCUGAGGAUGGCACGAUGGGGUGAAUUAAAUUUGAGGAAAUAAGACACAUAGCCCUGCAAAAGCAUUUUGAGAGAAGCACAAACAAAUAUGAGCUAUGAGGCUUAACCUUUCACAAAAGCAAGCUGCAAAUUGUCUCUUGGCCAGAGGGCAGGAUACUGUUGCCGCACCAGAUUAACCUCAACCAAGCUAGAUAUUCGAGCCUAGCCUGAAAGGAUGCAGAGGGAAUCAGAACUGAAACGAUGCAUAUAGUCCAGGGUAGGAUCAAUAUUUGGGCGGAAGAGGGAGCUGAAAAGUCAUGGAGGUCGCAAAGGCAUGCAGUUCCCAGGGAAGGGAGGGAUUGGAAGCGAAGGGGUGCAGAGGGUAAAAAUAUCAUUAUACAUAGAACAAAUUUGCUCUAUUAAAAUGUGAAGUUCUCAUACAAUAGAUUUAGUAGAUCCCCUGCAACAAUGUAUUUGAACCUUGAAAAAGGGAUUUGUACUAAUCUAUUCCAGGACUAGCUAGAACCGACAGUUAAACACUAAUGAUACAGUUUAGACAAAGCACUUGUACUUCUGACAGAUGAUCCAAAGUUCUAACUUAUAUCAGACUAUAUCAAUGGAAUGGAUAAGAUUGCGCAAAAAGUGAGGUACAUUCGGCAAGUAGUUUUUAGUGUGUCAUCAUAAAUAAACAACUUUAUUGAGCGAGGUUUCAGCAAGAAAAUGGUAAAUAAAGUGGCAAAAGAUAUGUAAAAUUCAGUAAGUUGUACAAAUAAGAACUAGUAGGAAAUACAACAAAAGUUAUAAUUUCAGAUAAACAUAGAAGAAACCAAAACAGCCACAAGACCAGUGCAAAGACAAAUUUAGAAAUUGGGUAUAGCACAAUAAAUUUGAAUUUCCGUAGAAUUUAACUCCAAAAUAUCUAUUUUUCCCCUAAUCCAUCUCAAAUUAUUAUUCCUUGUUUUCUAUAAUAAAACGUGAAAAUAUAUUAAAUAAAAAUCUAAAUUAGUGCAAAAUGCAAAUAAUUAUGGGAAUUAAAUUACAUAAUAUAUAUAUAACUAUAUUUUAUUAGAAAGUUCAGCGUCGAACUCCAUCUACACUUGUGCUAUUCUCCUUUAUAGCCCUGGCACCAAUUUGUAUAGCUUCAGUCACCUGCCAAUAUAUAAAGUCAGAGUAACAUAAAUUAUAUAUACUAUAAGCAUAGCUUUUAAACCUUAAGCAUUUACUUGACAAGACAAGGAACUACACAAACAUCAUAUAUUUUAAGUACCAAUAUAUUGAAAGAACCAUGUGUUUGGAUUUUAGUCAACAAACAAAACCUGUUUCGAUGAUUCCGCAUCUGCAAGAGCUCUGAUGAAUUCAUUUCACAAAGCUGGUCACAAAUUUUAAUACAAUUAAAAAAGCAAACAACAAAUACAAAUUCAACACAAACCCAUAAAAAACACACUUAAUUAGACAUUUGUAUUCACAGGUUUCUUAGCAACAGGCUUAGCGUGAUAAUUCAUACAACAAAACAUCCACUUAGUUUACAUUAUAUAACACAAACAAAAUACGUAAUCACUCAUAAUUCAUCAUAACAAAUUCGAAAAACAGGCAAAAUCACACCUUUCUUCAAUGGCGUAGUAGCAACAACAGCUGGAGCUACUUUCACCUAUAAUCAAACGAAACCCAUCAGCCUAAUUACACAUACAAACUCAAAAUCCACAUAGAUACAUAAACAUACACAAAAACCCAGAUACAAAAACACACACACACAUACGCAUAUACAUAGAUAAAUAUUGAAUUGGAUGAAACAAAGAAAAUGGUCUAAUUAACAAGUAAAACAGACCUUAGAAGCUGAUUUCUUGGAAUAUUUACCCAUCUAAAGAGAUAGAUACACAGAUCUGUGAGUAAAAGGGAAGGGUAUAGAGGGGGCUUAAGAGAAAGGAGCCUCCUUUUAAAAAACCCUAAAAUUGAAUAAGAUUGAGACAGAGAAAGUGUAUUGAGAAGCCUACAAUUAAACCUUCAAAUCGAAACCCUAAUAACUGAGAAUGGCAAUGAAAGCUUUCAUUCAAGCAAGAAAAGAAGAGAAGUAGAGAAUAAAGAGAGAAAUCAGGGGAGAGAGGCGGAGAUAAAGGAUAUUUUGGGCAGAGAAGAAGAGGGAAAACGAAAAUUUGGGUUAUGAAGUUAGGGGGAAACGAAAAUUCCUGUUAAGAGGCAUAUAGACAUAUAGAUAAUAGUCAUAAUGAGUAAUUGGAACAUGGAUAACUGAAUUUUUGUAAAAUAUUUUAAACAAUAAAUUAUAUUUCAGUGAUGUCGAGAACUAACAAUAUUAGUCAUGUAUAAAAAAAUCAAAAAAAUUUAUGUUUAUUUUGUAUGUUUUUUUAACAAUACUAGUCACACGUGAAUUUUGUCUUAAUUGUAUUAAAAAAUAUAAAAAUAUUAUAUUUUAAUAUAUUGUGUAGUUGAAUUAUGAGAAAAAUGAUUUUUUUGAGUAUUUAUUUUUAUUUGAUUAUCAAAAUAACCUAUAAAAUAUAAUUUUAAAUAUAUAAUAAUUUACUGAUAUAAAAAUAAAUAUUUUAUAAUUAUCUUAUACGUUCUUUUAAUAAAAAUAUAGUGGGAUUAUUGUAUCUAGUAAACAAAUUAAUUGAUCCUAGUAUUUGUUGAUGUAAAAAUAUAAGAAAAUUAGAAAAAUAAUCUUGUAAACUUUUUUAACAAUAAUCUUGUAACAAUAUUAUUACUCCCAUUGACGUGACUCGUGCCCGAUAUUCCUUUUCAAAAGUUAAAAUUUCUCGAUUUCAAGAUGAUUUUUUUUUUAUACUUUUUAUCUAAAAGAAUAUAUUUAUAUUAAUUAUGUAUAUAUCCAAAUUUGUAAUUUUGAUUUGUAUUAGGAAGAUAAUUUUGUAGUUUGGACGUGAGUACUAGUAUGUGUUUUUAUGUUUGCGAUUGAGAAUGUACUGAAUAGAAUCUUUGUUAUGUAUACGAUUAGCUCUGUAUUAAUUUAUAAAUAUUUGUUUCGAUGAUCUGACCGUAUGGAUGUCGAGAACUAAAAAUAUUAGUCAUGUAUAAAAAAAAUUAAAUAUUUUUAUGUUUAUUUUGUAUGGUUUUUUUAACAAAACAAGUCAAUAAAAAAUUUUGUCUUAUUAUAAAAAAGUAAAUUUUGUCUUCUUGUGUCUAACAGACAACGGUUUUAUGCAAACGUGUGUUGUAUGAGUUAAAAUGACACAAGUGUUAUGUAUAUUAUACCAUUGUAACAUAAUACUAUUGUUUAAAAUUGUUUUAAACAACGUUUAAAAAAAACCCGUUGUAUGUAAGUUGUGUAGACAACGGUUUAUGGAAUGAAAACCGUUGUAUAAUGAAUUCUUUUCUUUUGAAGAGUUAAAAAUUCUCGUAUCAUUGAUCAAUUCUUAUUUUUAUACUUUUUAUCAAAAAAAUAUAUUUAUAUUAUGCAUAUAUCGAAAUUUGUAUUUUGAUUUGUAAGAGGAAUAUAAUUUUGUAGUUUGGACGUGAGUAUUAGUAUGUGUUUUAUGUUUGCAAUUGAGAAUGUACUGAAUAGAAUCUUUGUUAUGUAUACGAUUAGCUCUGUAUUAAUUUAUAAAUAUUUGUUUCGAUGAUCUGACCGUACGGAUGUCGAGAACUAACAAUAUUAGUCAUGUAUAAAAAAAAUUAAAUAUUUUUAUGUUUAUUUUGUAUGUUUUUUUAACAAAACAAGUCAAUCAUAAAUUUUGUCUUAUUAUAAAAAGGUAAAUUUUGUCUUGUAGUGUCUAGCAAACAACGGUAUUUAUGCACACGUGUGUUGUAUGAGUUAAAAUGACACAAGUGUUAUGUAUAUUAUACCGUUGUAACAGAAUUCUAUUGUUUAAAAUAGGCUCAAACAACGUUCCACGAAAAACCCGUUGUAUAUAAGUUAUGUAGACAACGAUUUAUGGGAUGAAAACCGUUGUAUAAUGCUUUUUCUUUUUUGAAGAGUUAAAAUUUCUCUUAUCGUUGAUCAAUUUUUAUUUUUGUACUUGUUAUCAAAAAAAUAUAUUUAUAUUAUGCAUAUAUGCAAAUAUGUAUUAUUCAUUUGUAAUACCAAGACAAUUUUGUACUUCGAACGUAAGUAUAUGUAUGUGUUUUAUGUUUACAAUCUAGAAAGUACUGGAUAGAAUCUUUGUUAUGUAUACGAUUAGCUCUGUAUUAAUUUAUAAAUAUUUAUUUUGAUGAUCUAACCGUACGGAUAUCGAGAACCAACAAUAUUAGUCAUGUAUAAAAAAUAUCAAUUUUUUUAUGUUUAUUUUGUAUGUUUUUUUAACAAUACUAGUCAAUUGUAAAUUUUGUCUUCUUGUAAAAAGGUCUUUUUUGUCUUCUAGUGUCUAACAGACAAUGGUUUUUAUACGCACAUAUGUUGUAUCAUUGAAAAUGACACAACUGUUACGAAAGUUAUACUGUUGUUAGAGAAUCCAUUGUCUAAAUUAGGCUCAAACAACGCUUCACGAAAUAUCCGUUGUACAAAAGUAGUGUAGACAACAGUUUGUGGGAAGGAAACCGUUGUAUAAUAAAUUUUCAUUUUAAUGAGUUAAAAAUUCGCAUUUCCUUGAUCAAUUCUUGAUCUAAUGCAAGAAAAACCUAUGACUAUCAAGAAAUUGAUUAUGUUGUUAUAACUUUGGCUAGGACUUUUCAAUCUUUGCACUCUCUUAUGUACAUUUAUUUUAUUAAAAUUCAUUCAGUUAGACAACAUUUUAUUAGUUAGUAGAGGCUUGUCUAUAAAGUCAUGUUACGAUGCUAACAAAAACACUUGUAUGUUAGCUUUCCAGUCACACAACACUAUAUAAAACCCUUGUUUGAACUGCUCGUAAACAACACAAAAAAUAAAACACUUGUCUAAUUACAACAACGGUUUCUUGAAAUAUUGUCUGAAGUUCCUUCACACAUCGGCUCUAAAAACAGUUGUCUAACAUGCAUCAUUACACAAUACCACAGUUAAGAAACUGUUGUCUGAUUGAAUUUACUAGACAACAGUUUUUUAACCGUUGUAGGUCGUAGGUGUUAGACAAUAGUUUUUCGAGGACGAAAAGAAAGUGUUGUGUCUUUCUUCCAAACAACGCUUUUUUCACCGUGCGUUGUCUGAUCAGUGUUGUCUAAUGCUGUUUUUGUUGUAGUGAAAUUAGAUAUUCGAGCCUAGCCUCAAAGGAUGCAGAGGGAAUCAGAACUGAAACGAUGCAUAAUCCAGGGUAGGAUCAAUAUUUCGGCGGAAAAGGGAGCUAAAAAGUCAUGGAGGUCGCAAAGGCAUUUCACAGGGAAGGGAGGGAUUGGAAGCGAAGGUGUGCAGAGGGUAAAAAUAUCAUUAUACAUAGAACAAAUUUGCUCUAUCAAAUUGUGAAGUUCUCGUGCAAUAGAUAUAGUAGAUCAGCAAGAAUAUAUGUCUGGACUCUGGCCUAAGGUUUGAAUCCCAUAACACAACUUGCAGCCAUUAACCCAAAUCCCAUAAAACAUUCUUUAAUCCCCUACAAUAAUGUAUUUGAACCUUGAAAAAGGGAUUUGUAUGAAUUCAUUCCAGGACUAGCUAGAACAGCCAGUCAAACACUAAUGUUACAGUUAAACAAAGCACUUGUACUUCUGACAGAUGCUCCAAAUUUCUCACUUAUAUCAGACUAUAUCAAUGGAAUGGAUAAGAUUGCGCAAAAAGUGAGGUACAUUCGGCAAGUAGUUUUUAGUGUGUCAUCAUAAAUAAACAACUUUAUUGAGCGAGGUUUCAGCAAGAAAAUGGUAAAUAAAGUGGCAAAAGAUAUGUAAAAUUCAGUAAGUUGUACAAAUAAGAACUAGUAGGAAAUACAACAAAAGUUAUAAUUUCAGAUAAACAUAGAAGAAACCAAAACAGCCACAAGACCAGUGCAAAGACAGAAAGGAGAAAUUCAACUACACAAGUCAUCUGACUUCCAAAUUAGAAAAAUAUUGCACAAACACAUUAAUAUUCAUAAAACUCAAAUAUAUAAUGCAGUAGCUUACAUUCUUUACCGGAAAAUGAGCAGAAAGGAACAAACUUUGUAUUCUAUUCUACUUGCUUUUAAAAAUCAGGAAUAUUGAUUGACAAAUAUUGUAACAAAUACUAGUAAACGUGCUGCAAAAUCAAAAUCCUAAUGAGUCCAACAGCCAAGUAUAGUCUCACAUUUGAAAAAUCUAAAUUGUAACAAAAACUAGUAAAAGUGUUGCAAAAAAAAUAAUCAAAAGUAGUCUAUCAUUCUUGAGUUGUUAACCGCUGAGCAAAAAGAACCAAACUUCAGUAUUCUCUUAUAUUUCUUUAAGAAUUCCUGAAUACCUUGAAAUUCCUGUAAAGAGGCAGAUAAAAAACAAUGGCGGGAGAAAUAAUAUAAUCAAACAUUCACGACCAGUGUUACCAAUUUUGUAUGUUCUUGUCAUUGGUGGACUUCGGCUACACUUUGCUCGCUUUGAAUCCUCAUCACCAACCUCCUCUGCCGCACGUUUAUUUCCAUGUUUAACAUAUUACCAAUAAAUAUACUUGACUAAAUAAAAAUAUUAUAGAACAAUUAAACAAUAAAAUGGCAAUGCAGUAAUAGGUACAAACUUGACCAAGUAAAAAGUGUUUAGAACUCGGCCUCAGUGUUAUUAAACGCGAUAUGCCCACCGAAGCGCAAAGGCCUUACGGGGCAUAAGCGCAACGCGCAAUGCGCAAAGCGCGGAUUCAUCGAAAACAUGUAAAAUAUACAUAUUUAGACAAUAUAUAUUGUAAAACAUUAUAUACUUAUAGAUAAUAAAACAUUAAUAAGCAAAAGUCAGUCAUCAAAAAUGAUAAUGCAACCAGAAUACCUAGAAAUUCAAAGUCUAGAAUAGUUUAAAGGCAGAGUGGCAAAGAAUUGCGAAGUUAUCCGCUAAAUCACUAAUCAUCUUCUUCGUCUUCAUCAAUAUUCACAAAAUCAUCUUCUUCACUAUUUUGAUUUGGAUCUUCAACAUAUUCAAUUUCUUGUUCGUCAUUCUCAAUGAUAUAUAUACCCUAUGUAUAUGCAUGUAUAUAUAUGUAUCCUAUGUAUAUAUAUGUAUAUAGCUUAUGUAUCUGCUACAUAUCUAUCUGUACAUAUAUAUAUAUAUAUAGAGUCCUACUCCAAUAGAAACCAAAUUAGCCUAAAAACUAAAAACCAGUUCUGGACAGUUUUUUAUCACUAUUUUUAACUAUAGAAAUCACUAAUUUGUACAUAACAUAUCACUAAUUUAUAUAUAGUAUAUCUCGCGGAUAUAAAUAUAUAUAUACACAUAUAUGCAACGUAUAUGACCAUCAUCUUCACCCAAAUCGUAAUAAUGGACCUCUAACCACCAAUACCAGACGUUUCCAUGACUUGCCACCAUUGUCUAUCAUCACCAAUAGUCACUUACACUUUCCAUCAUAACUUACAAAACUAACGACUACUUACCAUCAUCAUACAACUUCUCUUGCGGCUUCCUACCGUUAAGAACCUUCCUACGGAUGAAAUUGAUCAUCUAUAAUCAAUUAUCAAUAGUUUAGAUAAGUAGAUUUUCUCAAUUUUGAUAAUAAAAAUCGUUGUUUAUAUACUGUAUAAAAACAGUGAUUAGUACAGUAUAAAUUAGUGAUACCCGUAGUUAUAAAUAGUGGUAGGAAAACUGGUUUCUAGUUUUUAUUUUAAGAGUGGUUUCUAUUUGAUCAUGAGCCUAUAUAUAUAUGAGUGAGGUUCCAGAGAAAACCAAAUUAUCAAGAAAACUGAAAAACCCUCUUAGAUNNNNNNNNNNNNNNNNNNNNNNNNNNNNNNNNNNNNNNNNNNNNNNNNNNNNNNNNNNNNNNNNNNNNNNNNNNNNNNNNNNNNNNNNNNNNNNNNNNNNNNNNNNNNNNNNNNNNNNNNNNNAGUCAGUCAACCUCCUGGUGUUUUUAGGGUUUUUUUUAUGACCCGUGUCUAUUUAAAGAGCUUAGUCAAUGGCCCAGUCAAGUCAGUCAACCUCCUGGUGAAUUGUUACAGAAAAGCGCGCUUUUUUUGCGCUUUUCGCAUCUCGCUUAAUCCCAAGAAGCGCAGAAAUGCGCUCGUGUCAUUGAACUCGCAUCGCAUAUACAAAGCGAUGCGCAUCAGCUGCGCUUCGAUGCGCUUCUCGCUUAUGCGCGCGCAUGUGCGCGCUUUUAACAACACUGCUCGGCCUCAACAACCAUCACGUUUAUUCUUCAAACUAUCUUUCUACUUUCAAAGACACCAAAUUUCAAUCUAAAUAAACAAAAACAAGGAGGAAAAAAGAAGAAAAACAGAGAGAGGGUCUUCCAGUACCAAAAUAGAUGAAGCAGGAACGAUACGAUUAUCAGGAUCAGAGUCCAAGUUGGGCCUUUCCUCUAUGGAUUCAG
rnacentral:lncRNA from 1 species